GGAACAUGUGUGUAUAUAUAAUCAUAAACAAAAAUAAAAACCAAAUAGAACAAAAAGACAAUAGGUGACUAAUGCAUUUAAGUAACAACAAUGUUUUAAAACAUGAGAUUAUUUUGAAAAGUCUUCAAAAUAAUAAACAUGAGAUUUAUUUACUGAAACCAAGAACUAAUAAACUGAAAACAAUACCUAAAGAAAAAAAAUGUGACUAUUGAGAUCUAUCGUUCACUAAGCACUAUUCACUCUCUCAUUCUCUUCUACUUCAUUGUAUUCCUAAGAGAAGAAUAAAGACCCAUAAACACAACAACAAAAGAUGGAAAUAUGAACAUUUUCAUAUCACAAUAAUUUUUUUGGAUGAAUCAGAUAAAAUUCUAAGAAUGAGACUUCUAAGGUUCAUGUUCAAUUAAGUACCUUCCUAAUUUAUAUUAUAAACCAAAUUGUUAUGGCUUGACAUAUUUAAAGGGAUAGUGAACCAACAAAGCCUUCUAAGAAUGAGACACUUAAGGUUCAUGUUCAGUUAAGAAAAAAAAUGGAGUGAAGAGAAGGACUCACCUUGUAAAUCAGAAUGCUAAGGGAAAACAUGGCAAGCCACUCCUUCAUCAUGGCAUUGCUAAUCUUGCUACAUUCUCUCAAUAAUAGUUAAUAGCAACUUUCCAACUUCAUUCUCGUUACUCGCCCUUCAAAAAAAUGAAUGUGUUAAAAAUGUCUGGGAGAGAAAUCCAACAAACAAAUUUAGGAUGGAGAUAAUAUGACAAACACAAUAGAAAGUAAUAGAGAGAGAGGAUAUCAGAUAAUUUUUUAAAAAAAGUAACGAAGAUAAGGAUAAACUGAUUUCUAACAAAAGAUAAAACUCAUACUAUGUAUUCUUUGAUAUCUAAAAAAGUAACGAAGAUAAAACUUAUCUAAACUAAAUUGAUA
rnacentral:lncRNA from 1 species